UAACAUGAGAGUUUGAUCCUGGCUCAGGAUGAACGCUGGCGGCGUGCUUAACACAUGCAAGUCGAACGAAGCACUUUAUUUGAUUUCCUUCGGGACUGAUUAUUUUGUGACUGAGUGGCGGACGGGUGAGUAACGCGUGGGUAACCUGCCUUGUACAGGGGGAUAACAGUUGGAAACGGCUGCUAAUACCGCAUAAGCGCACGGCAUCGCAUGAUGCAGUGCGAAAAACUCCGGUGGUAUAAGAUGGACCCGCGUUGGAUUAGCUAGUUGGUGAGGU
rnacentral:rRNA from 1 species